rnacentral:lncRNA from 1 species
ACAGUCUGCGUUUAGGGUGGCAUAGCCAUCCAAUCCCCACAUGGAGGGGAUUGUCGUCGAGUACUCCGGAGUGUCGUGCAACUAGGACCACUUGGAGGUCCGGACCACAUGGAGGUUCGCAGACGGUCCCGGGCCUGGGUGCACUUGGAGCUCCCUCCCCACUUUGGGAUUGAAAGAUGAGUUAUGGGCGAGCCCUAGGGCCUCGCCACAGAUUGGGUAAAUGAAAGGUUAAAGUUUAAUAAAUGUCAUUGAACAUAGCUAUUCGAACAUGGAUCAAAUUUGUUAGCAUGGUAGCAAACCUUUAUUAUAUGAUGCAUGCAUUCAUAUUCAUGAUUAUGGGCAUAGUAGCAUAGUUUUCCUACUACCGCAUUUACAGCUUUCAGAUACAUAUCUAUCUAUCUAUCUAUCUGUUGUUACUUGUGCCCACUUGGACCUAGUGGGGAGAUCGGCAGAGUCGGCGGCCGAGCCCACUGGGAACUAUGGAAGAUAGUUCUCACCCCACUCUAUUUCCAGUGGUAGGUUCAGGGCUGCAGAGAGAGGACCGCGGCAAGGGCAUCGCGCCCGAUCAGUGAGGCCGUGGUAGUAUAGUAGCUUUCCUUUUGCAUUAGCACACCUAUGUAUUGAGAGAGAUUCAUGUAGGUGAGGUUGGAGAGCUAUGUAUUUUGAGGAUCAAAUGUAUUCAUUUUGGAAAAUGAUGUAAAUGUAAAGAAUGCAACUAUUGUAAUAGUUAGUAAAGUACUCUCUUUAUUUCACUCGUAUAUCUUGUGGAUUAUUUGCUCUUCUUGUUGUUGGCACUGUUUGUGCCCUCGUUGAAUGUGUAUAUUUAGAAUUUAAAGUCCUGGGUAAAUUCUUGUACACAUUCCUGUUGUUGAGCCUUGGGCGGACAAGGGAGGUGCUGUCUGUUCGGCGGUCCGUCGCCGCGGCCGAAUCGUGCCAAAUUG